CUGCCAUUCGGUUUUCAACUUUCGACCAGCGCGGUAUCUGUGCUGCGUCAAGAAAAUAAUUUCAGAAGUUGAUAACUAACGUAUUUUCGCGGACGACACAACAGAUCGCUUUCUGAAGUAGUUCAGAUAAAGCCCACAAAAACAUCCAGAUUGAUAUUUCGGCAAAAAAAAAUAUAAAAAAAAAUAUAUAUAUAUUUAUAUUUACACACACAGAAUGCACUUGAGAAAUUUGACCAAGUUUUUGUAAAUUUUUGCAAAGUCCGAACCGCCAGAAUAAUCGUGAAGGUACAAGUGUCGUGUUUUUUCGUCCCCGGCUGUUACAGGCGAAUUGUCAAAUUUACUACGAAGACAACAGAGAACGGAGUACGGAUUCUUUGAGACUCGCGCGCGUAUCUCUUAUCAGGAGUCGACCAGGCACUCAUCAAGUGAAAGUUGCCAGUUAUCGGGGUGUACGGUGUGGGAAACUACGGAACGGAGAAAGUAAAAUACUAAACGCAAAACAAAUAAAUCACGCACUGAGGAGAAUAAACAAAAGUGAGAGAGCAAAAGAAAUCGCACAAUAAAAAGCAACGCGCCCUAAAAACAAAUUUGUGAUAUGCAUUUGAACAUAUUCAUUGUGAAAGUGAAUUAAAUACGCGAACAAGCGUUUCAAUUAAGCGAAAACCGGAAACGAAAAAAUCACCCAAAAAUGUAUGGCUUCGUUAACUACGCCCUGGAGCUGCUGGUUCUGAAACACUUUGGCGAGGAGCUAUGGGAGAAGAUCAAAAAAAAGGCCAUGGUCAGCAUGGAGGGACAGUUUCUGGUGCGACAAAUUUACGACGAUGAAAUAACAUACAAUCUAAUUGGAGCAGCUGUUGAGAUACUCAAUAUACCCGCUGAUGAUAUUCUGGAACUGUUUGGCAAGACCUUCUUUGAGUUCUGCCAGGACUCGGGCUACGACAAGAUCCUGCAAGUGCUUGGAGCCACACCGCGUGAUUUCCUGCAGAACCUGGAUGCCUUGCACGACCAUCUGGGCACCCUGUACCCCGGCAUGCGGGCUCCCUCCUUUCGGUGCACGGAGAAGGACGGCGAGCUGCUGCUGCACUACUACUCGGAGAGGCCUGGCCUGGAGCACAUCGUCAUCGGCAUAGUUAAGGCCGUUGCAUCGAAGCUCCAUGGCGUCGAGGUGGAAAUCGACAUUGUAAAACGCAAAGGAGAGCCCAUCGACGAGGCCGAGAAGCUGCGCGCCCUCGCCCGCGAGCAGCAGCAGUUGGAGACGGACGCGGCGACAGCCGCUGCGGCGGCCCUCGCUCCUCCCACGGAUGCCGAGCGAAACAAUAAUCACAAUCCCAGCAGCAAUAAUGGCCUGGCCAACAACAGCAACGGUGCCAACGUUAACAUCAACAACAACAACGAUGGUCAAGAGAAUGCCAGCGAGACAGAACCCGCCAUUGCACUACCGGGCGGACCCGUGCCACAGGACAGCUUCGAUUGCGACGGCGAUAAGGAGCAGAAGUGCCUGCGGCUCCUGAAGAACAAGAGCGACGACAUCGAGCGCUACGACCAUGUGCAGUUCGUCAUCAGGGAGAUCAAUGUGGCGGACAAGUCUCAAGUGGAUACCAAGAAGGAUGAGGUGCCCGAUGACAUGGAGUUUCUCUGCGAAGCGCCCCUCAUAUCGCCCGCCACAUUCUGCAAGGUGUUCCCCUUCCACCUGAUGUUCGAUAGACAAAUGAGAAUUGUUCAAGCUGGGAAGGCUGUAUCUCGUGUAAUACCCAGAGUGGCCGAGGAGAACUGCUCCCUGAUAGAAGUGGUGGAGGCCAUCCGGCCGCAUCUCCAGCUCAACUUUGAGAACAUUCUCUCCCACAUAAACACCAUCUAUGUGCUGCAGACACGACAGGGGGCCAUGAGCAGCCGGCACGAGCAGCGCUUUCUGAGACUGAAGGGACAAAUGAUGUACAUACCGGAAACGGAUCGCAUAUUGUUUCAGUGCUAUCCGAGUGUCAUGAAUCUGGACGAUCUAACCAAGAAGGGGCUAUACAUCUCGGAUGUGCCGCUGCACGACGCGGCCAGGGAUCUGGUGCUGCUCUCCGAGAAGUUCGAGGCGGAGUACAAGCUGACAAAGAACCUGGAAAUGCUCACGGAUAAGCUGCAGCAGACGUUCCGCGAUCUGGAGAGCGAGAAGCAGAAGACCGACAGGCUCCUCUACUCGGUGCUGCCCAAGUCGGUGGCAAAUGAGUUACGACACCAGCGUCCAGUGCCGCCCAAACGCUAUGACUCCGUGACGCUGAUGUUCUCGGGCAUUGUGGGCUUUGGCCUAUACUGUGCGGCCAACACGGAUCCCGACGGGGCCAUGAAAAUCGUGAAAAUGCUUAACGAACUCUACACGGUCUUCGAUGCCCUCACCGACUCGAAGCGUAACCUGAAUGUGUAUAAGGUGGAAACCGUUGGCGAUAAGUACAUGGCCGUGUCCGGGCUGCCGGACCCCUGCGAGGAUCACGCCAAGUGCAUGGCACGCGUGGCCCUGGAUAUGAUGGACAUGGCCAAGAAUGUGAAAAUGGGCUCAAAUCCAGUGCAAAUUACCAUUGGCAUUCACUCGGGCGAGGUCGUGACAGGCGUGAUUGGCAAUCGAGUGCCGCGUUACUGUCUGUUCGGCAACACCGUGAACCUCACCAGCCGCACGGAGACCACAGGCGUGCCCGGCCGCAUCAACGUCAGCGAGCACACCUACAGACUGCUGUGCCAGGCGAUCAACCAGGAUGAUUCAUUUCAUUUGGAGUACCGCGGCCCGGUUAUCAUGAAGGGCAAGCCCACGCCCAUGGACUGCUGGUUCCUGACGCGUGCCACCAGCAGUCUGGGGGCGAGUGGCAGCGGCGCCACAGCCGGCGGCAACGGAAGCCUGGACUCGCCGCUCCUCCAGCCCACCACGCCGACAGGGGCGCCGGGUGCGAGCAGUCAAAGAUUGGGCGCCCAUGCCAGUGUCUCACGUACCUCGUCGGCCGGAGCAGGGCCUGGUGCUGGUGCUGGUUCCGGGGCCGGCGGGGCAGCCAGUGCGACCCCAUUGGACACAUAGGAAAUGUGCAAAGAUUCGUCUUGCUGCUGCUGAAACAUCCUGUAAAGUUGCCACACAGCAAGCGCUACGUGUCUGUGUGUCAGUCUUGUCCGUCUGUCCGUCUGUUGUUCUGUCUGUAUGGUCCUGCAAGUCGACCACUUAACCACUUCAUUUCUAUGACUUUGUAUUUGUCCUGCCUGCAUCUGUGUGUCCUGCAUGUGUAUCUGUGUCUGAGUAUCUCUGUGUGUGCUUGUGAUUGUUGCUGGUGGCACGUUGCGGCUGGAGUCAGAGACGUCGGAUCGUGUUGCAAGAUAUCUAUAGAUAAUGGUCCUGUAAAAAUAUUUAAACUAUCUCCGUGUCUGUACGUGUGUGUGAUCCUUUAUGGAUGCUUAAAAGCGAUAUUUGUUAAUAUGUAUUUAUUACGAUUCUACUUUUGUGAUGGUUUCUUAGGCUGAACAUUUUUCUGUGUGUAACGAUACUCCUACUCGAGCUGUAUACAAAAAUCUGCGAGCGAAAGGAAGGAAACCCAUGUAAGGCGAAUAUUCUAACUAAACAAAAAAAGACACUCUCAUCUUUUGGGACAACCCUAAUUAAGCCGUAAACUAGCCGUAAAUUAGCAUAACCACAAGGCACCAAACAACAAGCAACAAAACCGAAAAAAAAUGAAAUGAUAUUAUAAUAUACAAAGAUAUAUACUAGUAAAUAUAUAUAGGAUGUACUUAUGGGUUCGUCAACUUCUAUACAGGGCUAUCGACCAGCAAACAGCAAUAGCAAAUUGUUAGCUAAACUCUCAAACUGCACCAAGGACAAAAGUCAAACUCUAUACAAAAAUGUACAACAAAACCGAAAGCAGAAAACAGAAACCAAAAAUAUUUAUAUGUUCUAUCAUGAAAAUACGAUACGAGUACAUAGGUUAAGCAGUACUGUAUAUCUCCAGAGGUUCGUUUAAGUUUCCAUUGAUCUAUCGGUAAUGUUAUGAAGACAGACAGACAGGUCUCUGUACUUUACUAAAACUGAAAAAUAGCUUUAUAGUUCUUAAGCCAUCACGCCGGAAGUCUCUCCCUGUCUCCCUGUAUGUCUAAAAUCAUUGACUAAUCAAGGGGAAUCUGUUAAUAACCAUACAUAUAUACUAUAUCUAGAUAUACAUAUAUAAUAUAUAGCAAUAUCAAUGUGCACAGAUGCAAAUACUACGAUAUCCAACUGUUCAGCUGAAUGUUCGUUUUUCUAAGCUUAAGUUUCUUUAGGGAGGCGUUAGAUGAUAGAUGAUAGAUGGUUGUAGGAUGUUUGUCUCUGGGCGGGUGUGGCAUAGUUUAUAUUUAAGUUAAUUACUGUACAAAAGGCUAAGAAGUGUUAAGUGCUUAAACUAACUGCAAUCCCUCGCCCCUUCUCUAUCUAUCUAUCUCUCUCUCUCUCUGUGUCUUCAUCUAAAGUAAAUGUUAAAUAUUUAUGUUAAAGAAAGAAUAAUAUAUGUAACAGAAAUAAAUAAACAAAUAUCUCAUUGAAC